GAACGGGCAGGGCCCUGCCCCAGGUUGGGGUAGGAGGAGCCUGGCGGUUGCCCAGCAGCGCUCAGGAGGGACUCCAGGUGUCUGCAGCUGGAGGGUGAAGUGGACAUCCCUCCUGUUCGCCAGGCUUCUGUCACAUGGUGCCCCAGCCUACUGACUGCUGUGUCGAACUGAUCCAGUGGGAUCCACAGGGCCUCUGAUAUGGAUACCGAGAGAACAAUACCUGCCCACGGGACUUGCUCCUGUGAGAUAAAGGACCUCGCUGGCUAGCAGUCAGCAACUGAAGCAAGCUGGACUCCCUCCAGAGGGGUCUCAAGGAGAGUGGCUAUAGCAACAGAAUCCUGGUACAUGACAACCCCAUGGGAAACCCUGGGUGAAGCCAGGGCAGGUGCUCACUUGCUCAGUCCUAGCCUCUCCCCUCCCUCCAGCGAUGCACCUCUGAGCAACACAGUUCCAGGAUUUCAGCUCUAAGUGCCAGAGGCAGGCUUGGAGGGCCAGGCUUGGAGGAACCGGCAAGUUCAGUGCCGCCUCUUCCUUCACCCCAGACCACCGAGGCUCCCCUGGGACCAGCCUCCCGGAUGGGUGGGGGGCCUAGAGGCAGCCAGUGUUGCUAUCUCUCGGGCUUGACCUCUCUUCUAGGUCAGAGGACAAGAGGGAAGGGGACUGGGAGACUCCAAGGCUGGAUGGGGCCAGCCCUGUCCCAGUUUCCCCUCAAUGGGGUUCCCUUGCUCAGACUAAGGAAGAACCGUGACUCACUUCCUGCCUCGCUGGGUCUGACUGCAGAAGUAUUGUUUCUACCAACAGUGGCUGCUGCUGGUGGGACUACCCCAGUGUGGCCCCCACAGCCAGUCCCUUCUUGGGAAAGUUCCCACUCCCAGUCUUCUCCCCCAGAUAAGUUUUCGGAACCCCUCAUUCUUCCCCAGGUUUCCGGGUUUUGCAGCAUUUGUAAGGAUGCCCGUAUGAUACCUUAUCCUAUUAACUGAAUAUU